rnacentral:rRNA from 1 species
UACAGAGGGUGCGAGCGUUAAUCGGAAUUACUGGGCGUAAAGCGUGCGUAGACGGUAAUGUAAGUCAGAUGUGAAAGCCCCGGGCUCAACCUGGGAACAGCGCUUGAGACUGGCACGCUCGAGUUCGGGAGAGGAUGGUGGAAUUCCCAGUGUAGAGGUGAAAUUCGUAGAUAUUGGGAAGAACACCGAUGGCGAAGGCAGCCAUCUGGACCGACACUGACGCUGAGGCGCGAAAGCGUGGGGAGCAAACAGG